UCAGGACUUCAGACGGGAUGGUUCUUUAUUAUUAUUUUUUAAUUAUUUUUUAGUUAAAAUAAUAUUUUGAAUCGGGAAUCUGGAUCUGCCUCGGCCUCCUGCUUCGCCGCUGGAAUCGCGCCUGCUCGCCAGAUGUACUGAUUUGACUGCAAUUUGGAUAUUCUUGCUCACAACUUGUUUGUAAAAAUGUUUCUAUGAGUUCAAAUGAGAAUGCUAACAAGUACCAGGUCUUUGAUUUGGGAGAAACAGCACCUGAUCAGGUCUGAAUCUGAUGAGCUUGAUGUGACAGGCAUCUUCCAACUUACUUCUUAAAGCUCUUAGACGUGAAGCUCUUGAAGGGGUAAACCUUAGACAUCUGCAUGGUUGUUCACCAACCAAGAUUGGUAUUUAAAUGCAAUAAACAGUCAACUUGCAACUAUUCUUUUCACUAAAAGUCAAGUAAUUUGCAGACAUGCCUCUUAUUUGCAGCACUUCUACCUGCUGUAGAUUUGUCCAUGUCCUACAAGGUAGAAGGAAAUUUAUGUUCACUGGGGAAAAUAUGAUUUUCAACACCUUAUCAUGUUCCGAUCCAUAUCCAAUACCAUCUUCACCUAAAAUAAUAAAAUAUAGAGUGAGAUCUGAAUUUUCAAUUUGAUCAAAGUGGUUUGGGGUUUUUAUUUUAGUUGUUCUUCUCCCAGUUAUUCACGAAGUGCUUCCUCGUGUAUUGGAAUGGAUGGUCAUCGGAUUCUUUCAAUUCGGUGGGCCUCGAGCUUUGGCAAACAGAGAAAUAUAUGAUUGGAAUAACUGGAAUGUUAAGAAUGGUUCUUGAGACUUCAACACUUAAUCCUCAAACUCCUAGGCCUUUAGUUGAAGGAAGGAGGAGAAAGUGUACCCUGCAUCAAUUUCAAUUCAACAGUGUAGAAGAGGAUGAUACUGAUAUAAAGAGAAUUAAUAAUACUUGUGCAGAAGAGCCAGUGAUCUCAAUAUGUUGAUCAUAAGCAGCGGCGGGAUCAGAUAUGAAAUGUACUGUGAGCUCAUCAAUGCAUUCACUUACAUUAGAAUAUUUUGGUAUCUUCCAAUAUCUCAGAGCUGUUAUUGUUUCUUUAAUUUGGUUUAUAUAAAAAAAAAAAUAUUAUAUUGCAUAUAACAUGUAGUAGACAAGGUAACCAAACAUAAGUAUUUAUAUUGAUUGCAGUAGUUAAUUUUCUUAUAAUGAAUUAAAUUUGGAACAAAA